CGCCGCAGGCUGGCGCGCGUGCGGGAGCGCGCACACACGGGCGGCGUCGCGCUCCCAGCCGGUGACAAGCACCUGAAUCAGGGUCGCGCGAGACCCGGGCGGCGUCCAGCUGUGGAACACCGAGCCGAGGCUCGCCCGCGCUGUGAAUACAGGCGUCGGCCGCUUUGAACAGUUAAAUUUUGGGAGUCUUGCCCUCAGUUGCCCACCGCCUUUGGAGUUUGCUGAGUUCUACAAGUCUGAGGAAUUAUGUACCACAGAAAGACGGACGGCCUCCGCCGUGGGAAUUAACGACUCUGUCCGAUAGACUUCCCGAGGUGAUGGAAAGAUUCUGCAUCUACGCUAAUACGGUAGCCACUAGCCUGCUUGUGACUGUUGAGCACUCGUACUGUAGCGACCGCGACCCGGGAACUGAAUUUUUAACCGUACUGAAUUUGAAUGUGAAUAGCCCUGUCUGGCGAGCGGUGCCAUGUUGGACAGCGCCCGUCUACGUUUUCUCACUGUGUAGCCUGGUCCUGGGAUGGCUACUGUCCAUGUUUCCUUGCGACUGAAGGGGUCCCUGGGGUGCAGCACAAACCUGUAUCCAGUGCAAAAAGUUGGAAAAUCCUGACCAAACCGCUCAAGUUCCUCUCCAGUUUCCGACAAGCCGAGGCAAUCUUUGGGGACACUCUGAAAAGUGUCCUGAUACCACUACUGGGCUGCGUAAAGAAUUUAGCUAAUGACCUAGGAAACGGUUUUCUGACAAGUAUCUAACAAAUGUGGUAGAAAAAUUAUUUCCUGGCUGUUUUGUGUCAUCCUGCUUUUGUUUUUGCCUUGAGAAUUGCGGAGCUCCUUCAUUUUAUGGUGUUAUUUUCUGUUUCUGAGAGUUGUUAAACUUUUUAGCCAAUCUGAUUAUUGUUCUGUGUUCCUAAUGGGAAAGGGUCUAUAAUUUUUUUAAUGCCCCUUUAAUUUAUCCUUUUACUAAUAAAAACAAUAUUGCAGGUAAUCAUA